rnacentral:lncRNA from 1 species
UAUUGGGACACAUAUGGGGACACAUAUGGGGCCAUACUGGGGCACAUGUGGGGCCAUAUACGAGCAUAUAUGGGGCCAUAUUGGGGCACAUUUGGGGCCAUAUUGGGACACAUAUGGGGACACAUGGGGACACAUUUGGGGCCAUAUUGGGGCACAUUUGGGGCCCUAUCAGGGCACAUGUGGGGCCAUAUAAGGGCACAUAUGGGGCCAUAUUGGGGCACAUGUGGGACCAUAUUGGGACACACAUGGGGACACAUUUGGGGCCAUAUUGGGACACAUAUGGGGACACAUUUGGGACCAUACUGGGGCACAUGUGGGGCCAUAUACGAGCAUAUAUGGGGCCAUAUUGGGGCGCAUAUGGGGACACAUGGGGACACAUUUGGGGCCAUAUUGGGGCACAUGUGGGGCCAUGUAAGAGCAUAUAUGGGACCAUAUUGGGGCACAUUUGGGGCCAUAUCAGAGCACAUUUGGGGCCAUAUAAGAGCACAUGUGGGGCCAUAUACGAGCAUAUACGGGGCCGUAUUGGGGCACAUGUGGGGCCAUAUAAGGGCAUAUAUGGGGCCAUAUUGGGGCAUAUUUGGGGCCAUACUGGGGCACAUAUGGGGCCAUAUACGAGCAUAUAUGGGGCCAUAUUGGGGCACAUGUGGGGCCAUAUUGGGACAUACAUGGGGACACAUUUGGGGCCAUAUUGGGGCAUAUUUGGGGCCAUAUCAGAGCACAUAUGGGGCCAUAUGGGGACACAUUUGGGGGCACAUGUGGGGCCAUAUACGAGCAUAUAUGGGGCCAUAUUGGGGCACAUUUGGGGCCAUAUUGUGACACACAUGGGGCCAUAUUGGGGCACAUCUGGGGCCAUAUUGGGACACACAUGGGGCCAUACUGGGGAACAUAUGGGGCCAUAUACGAGCAUAUAUGGGGCCAUAUUGGGGCACAUUUGGGGCCAUAUUGGGACACACAUGGGGCCAUACUGGGGCACAUAUGGGGCCAUAUACGAGCAUAUAUGGGGCCAUAUUGGGGCACAUAUGGGGCCAUACUGGGGCACAUGUGGGACCAUACUGGGGCCAUAUUGGGGCACAUUUGGGGCCGUAGGGGGGUACCCGCGGGGCGCCUAUGGGGCAGGGUCGGGGUCCCACCUGCGCAGGCGGAAGGAGAAGACGUUGUGGCGGAAGAUGCCGCGCCGCAUCAAAUUGUCGAACACCGGCACGCCCGGCCCCGCCGCCGCCCCCGGGUAGGCCAGGCCCAGCACCCCGUCAAACUGCGCGGCCGCGAACGUCAGCCCCGGCAGCACCACCGCCUCCGCGAACAUCUGCCCCUCCACCGACACGUUGGAGAUCUGGGGGGGGGCGGGGGGGUCAGGGUCCCCAUAGGGAAACCCGUAGGGAGCCCCAUAGGGAACCUCAGGGGGAUCCCCCAUAGGGAAGCCCAUAGGGAAACCCAUAGGGACCCAAUAUCUGCGCCUCCACUGAUACGUUGGAGAUCCAGGGGGGGCGGGGGGGGUCAGGGUCCCCAUGGGGACC